rnacentral:rRNA from 1 species
CCCUUAGAUGUUCUGGGCUGCACGCGUGCUACAAUGGAACUCGCAUCGAGUCGCGAAACUGAGAGGUUGAGCGAAUCUUGGAAAGUGUUCCGUGACCGGGACAGUUGAUUGCAAUUAUUCAACUCGAACGAGGAAUUCCUUGUAAUCGUGAUUCAUCAUAUCGCGAUGAAUACGUCCCUGCCCUUUGUACACACCGCCCGUCGCUCCUACCGAUUGAAUGAUCCGAUGAAUAUCAUGGAUUGAGGAUGCAAGUAGGUUCGCCUAUCUUCAUCUUCGAGAAGUGAAGUAAAUCUUAUCAUUUAGAGGAAGGAGAAGUCGUAACA